rnacentral:tRNA from 3 species
GGAAGCGUGGCCGAGCGGUUGAAGGCACCGGUCUUGAAAACCGGCGACCCGAAAGGGUUCCAGAGUUCGAAUCUCUGCGCUUCCGCCA